GAUGGAUAUGAGACGGGUAAUGGAUCAUCCUAAAGAUCCAUCUGUCCAAGACUUAGUAUACAUACAUACUGAGGCUAGAAUAAUAUUAUGCAUACAUAACAACAUAAACAUAUCUCUCUCUACUUUGAUGCUCUUGCUGUCUCUAUUUUUGCCUUGCUAGGAUUCAUGUUUUUCUAAGCUGUUUUGAGGAUUAAAGUUAGGUGAGUGGUUGUAUAUUUUUUUAUCAUUUUGAGAUGGAAGAGAUGGCUUAUAGAACCUCCACACGUCUGGGGAAGUUUGGGCAGUUCUAGAAGCAAGAAACUCCUAUGUCGCCACUUUUGGCAUAAAUUGUAUUCUUG
rnacentral:lncRNA from 1 species